AAAUAAGAGAAAACUGAAGUCAUUUUUAUGAUAUUUUUACAUUUGACAUAUUAUGAUAUUCCUACAGUGAAGUUUAUUUUUAUUUUUUAUUCAGGGAUGUACUCAUUUGCUCUAAAGUCUCGCUCAAAUGUCAUCAAUAGAUAUAUAAGGUAACCAUUUUAUUCCAUUACAUAAGGAUACUCUUUAAAAAAAAAAUGUUUAAAAUAAUGUGGUAUCAAAAUAAUCCCCACAGCAGAGAUGUCAUACGCUUCACACUGUUACAUGUGAAGUUAUGUAGAAUAAAUGCAACACUUUCAAAACAUCAAAGGAUUGUGCGCUCGUGAUGCGCGCAUGCGCAGAUCACAUUCCUCCCGAGCAGGACCAGCACUGGUGAGAUAAAUUCAUUAUCUGAUCGCCUUCACAUUACACACUAUUCAUGUCAUGCCAUUAAUACAUGUUCGAUAUAAAUAGAUUUGACUUUGCAUGCAUUUCUGGAUACUUCAUUACGCACGUUUCAUCGUAUUUUUCCUUCAUAAAAUUAAAUAACCCUAAUAAUUAGCAAUUAAGAUGAGGUUGCCUUGAAAUUACAACAUUUGUUUUAAUGUCGAUCAUCAUAACAGAGCGCAUCUGCCUUUUCCUUCCAAAUGCAUCGGAAUCGAAUGCACCUCAUAAAGCAGUCUUUCAGACAAGAGCAGAAUGAAAUAAUGAAUGGUUCGCCUGCUUUACAGUUUACUGCACAGGAACAUGGACUUCCGCCAUUUUGCACUGUUGUACGGAGCAGAGGCUUGCUAUGAGUGCCAAAGCAGACCUGGGUGUCCUGCCACAUGAUGCAGACGUCCCGUCUGAAAGCAGCGUCUCUCACGCUCCCAAUGACAGUUCUGCACAGCGGCUGAAAACCCAGGAUGCCACCACAAUCAUUUUUCCAGCUUCUGCUCAUCCAUUGCCAAAAGUUGAUCUGCCUCCAAAUGCAAUCAAGGCGAUUAAAGGCAGUGAACUGGAGGCCGCAUCACUUCCUGCUCAGGUUGGAGGGACGAUUGUGCAUGUUCUGGGCUGGAAGGAGGGAAUGGCCAUCCUCCCUGGAAGCAAUCUGAAGUUAUGUGUUAGUGACACUGGUUCACUGGAAGUGAUCAGUCAAGGGAAAAUAGGCUACUGCUAACCCGACCACUGAAGGAGUGCAGACAAAAUCAGCUGAUAUCAAACAGCUAGAAAAACCAGGUAAUUAUUCAUUAGAGGCCUCUGGAUUAUACAAGCAUGGAUCUUGAUGUUUUGAACUCUGGCUGUCAGUUUAUAGCAUUUUAUAAACAAAAGUAUAAUCAGUCAGGCCUCAAGAUUAACCAACCAGGAGAAAAAUGAGCUUAAUUGCUUUAUUAACACAAGCCAAGUUUCCAUUCAAGGAUUUACUUUUUAUAGAAAUAGUCCAGCACAUCAAAAUGUUUACUGAUAGCUGAUUGAAAUGCUAAUUAUCAUUAAAAUGUUGCAUGUACUAACUAAUUUGGAAACACUUUGUGUCAAUCAAAGGACUAAAUUACACGUGUACCCACAUCCAUAUGUUUCUCCUAUUAAAGUGCUGUUUCAUUGUAAUGUUCAAGGAUGCUUUAUAUCUGUUUGGACCUCAUACAUAG
rnacentral:lncRNA from 1 species